rnacentral:sRNA from 1 species
ACUCGCGAGCGCCUCCUCCUGGCCGGAGCAAGAAUGCGGGAUUGAGGCCAAGCUCCUAGGGACCGCACAUGGGUGAAUCUUAAUGUAAUUUCUCUCAGUCACAAUUGCCCAGACGAUGCUCUGCGCUUUUGGCCAUCUACUGCUCAAGAGUUCGUAACAGCGGUUUGAGGAACAGGAAAGCAAGAGAAGAAUCAAGGCCACAGCUCAGCUGAUGCCAGCUAGGAGGCGACCCCUCUGAAGAGCAAGCUUUGCUUUGUACUCAUUGGUGGGUUUUGGUUGGCAAUGGUGGAUGAAUACUGCAGAUCAAACCCAGGGUCUUGAGGCUGGAGAGAUAAGUUGGGUGGGCAGUGGAGCACAUGCUGCUCUGAGAACAUGAGUUCCCAGCACUCGUGGUGGUUCCCAACCAUCCACAACUUCAGUAGGGACUCUGAUGCCCUCCUCCAGCUUCAGAAAGCACCAAGUGGUACUCUAUGCAAUUCAUUCCCUCAACACAGGAAAAGACGAAAAACGGCCCCAAAUCUUACCACACAAAAAGCAGGCAGCAUUUAACACAUGACAUAGGCACAUCCCACACCUAUCCCCAUAUAUGGUCCUCCCCAAACCCUAAGUAGUGAGGCCUGAUGGAGUGUCUUGCCCCCAGCCGUCAGGUGCUUUAUCUUCAGAAACCAACCCAAGGAGCCACUGCCUAUCUGGUCCACAAUGAAAUGAACUCAAAGACUCUCCAAACUAAUGUUCUCCAACUCUGACUUUAUUCAGUCAUUUAAAAAUGAUUGUCUGAAUAAAGACAUGCUCUCAUGUAGCCCAGGCUGGCCUCAACCACUCUGUAGCUGUGGCUAACACUGACUGAACUGAUCCUUUUGCCUCCAGCUCCCAAGUGAUUAUGACAGGUGUGUGUGUCACCUCCCUCAGCUUCAUCAUUUUUAAAAUAAGGAGAGGGUGAUAAGGGAAAUCAGAGGAGUCUGACAUAACUGACUAUAAAAACUUUAUUUCCUGUAAAACCACACAAAAAUGUCAAAAAUCAAUGAAUCCCAGAGAUGCAAAGAAAGGAUAAAUAAUGAGAUAGGAAUUUGAAUGUCAGGCUGCAUGGCCAUGAGCGUCUGUGACGAGCUUGAGGACCAGUGGCCUAUAGAAAAGGCAGACAUGGGAGGUUUCCAUUGGCACUGUGGAAAACACUGCUUCCUGCCCUGCUCACCAAGGAGAGAAAAGCAGAUUCCCCUUCAGUAGCAUAUCCAUCAAUGCUGGAACAACACAGAUCACCACGGCCUCUGUGAGGGGAUGAUGGGCGGAUUCCUGCACUGCUCUAUACUUUACUUGCAGUAAGAGGUGGUCAGUUAGUGUUACCAGAACUGUGAAACCAGAACAUACGGUUACAAGCACACGUGCCACACAGUUUGGUCUGUGUUCAAACAUUUCACUGUGAACACACCUGCUGUAGCUCUGACAUGCCAGUUGCUAUGUAAUGAGGGACUUAUUACAACAACAUAUUUUCAUGACAUUUGUAGCUACAGGUUCCACGGGAGCUAGGAGCUAUGAGCCUCUUACCUCCAUGAGCUCUAACGAACGUUGCAUCUCUCUCUCUGUCAUGUUUUUAUGCUGAUAAAAGCACAGGCUUAGUUACUAAUUUACAUGUUUUCACUAUUUUUUUUUCCUUUUCUUUUUUUCGGAGCUGGGGACCAAACCCA